rnacentral:lncRNA from 1 species
AAAGAGAGAGAAGGUCUGAAUCCCCAAGAAUAGGUUCCUAACGACUGUCAAGGUAUGCGGCAUUUCACGAUUAGAAUUUUCCACUCCUUCCUUUGCCUGGCUAUGACCCGUUGAAAGCCCAAACUUGGAUGGGAGAGGAUGAAUUUGUGCUAUUUCGAACUAGUAACAUACUAUUAUUUCUCUAGUAUUAUAUUUAGAGUUAUGCUAAAUGGCAAGCAAAAAUCUAAAUUAGUGGCUUGAUUAAAUUAAUGAAUUUGAUUUAGAAUUUAUACAUUCAAAUUUAUAUAUAAUUUUAUUUGAAAUUAUUUAUAACGGUGGUGUUCAAGCUAUUUUGUAUGUUUUUUUAUAUUAUUCACAAAAAACGUAUCCAAUAUUAUAUGAAAUAUUUAUGGUUAAUGUAGUGUCUUUUAAAAUUAUC